UACGGAGGGAGCUAGCGUUGUUCGGAAUUACUGGGCGUAAAGCGCGCGUAGGCGGCUUUGUAAGUUAGAGGUGAAAGCCCGGGGCUCAACCCCGGAACUGCCUUUAAAAACUGCAUCGCUUGAAUCCAGGAGAGGUGAGUGGAAUUCCGAGUGUAGAGGUGAAAUUCGUAGAUAUUCGGAAGAACACCAGUGGCGAAGGCGGCUCACUGGACUGGUAUUGACGCUGAGGUGCGAAAGCGUGGGGAGCAAACAGG
rnacentral:rRNA from 1 species